rnacentral:rRNA from 1 species
UACGUAGGGUGCAAGCGUUGUCCGGAAUUACUGGGCGUAAAGAGUUCGUAGGCGGUUUGUCGCGUCGUUUGUGAAAACUCACAGCUCAACUGUGAGCCUGCAGGCGAUACGGGCAGACUUGAGUACUGCAGGGGAGACUGGAAUUCCUGGUGUAGCGGUGAAAUGCGCAGAUAUCAGGAGGAACACCGGUGGCGAAGGCGGUUCUCUGGGCCUUACCUGACGCUGAGGAGCGAAAGCGUGGGGAGCGAACAGG